rnacentral:RNase_P_RNA from 1 species
GGAGUCGGCCAGGCAACCGCUGCGUCAAUUUCGCGGAGGAAAGUCCGGGCUCCACAGGGCAAGGUGCCAGGUAACGCCUGGGGGGCGCGAGCCCACGGAAAGUGCAACAGAGAGCAGACCGCCCAAGCGCUGCAGCGAUGCGGCGACGGCAAGGGUGAAAGGGUGCGGUAAGAGCGCACCGCGUCGGUGGCAACACUCGACGGCACGGCAAACCCCACCUGGAGCAAGACCAAAUAGGGAAACGCGCAGGCCUGCGGGCCUGCACCUGCGGCCCGCAGGUGUUUCCGGGUAGGUCGCUCGAGGCGUGCGGCGACGCACGCCCCAGAUGGAUGGUUGCCCACGACAGAACCCGGCUUAUCGGCCGACUCCCUGU